rnacentral:tRNA from 1 species
GCGGGUAUCGUAUAGUAGUAGUAUAACUGCCUUCCACGCAGUUGGCCGGGGUGCAAAUCCCCGUACCCGCU